rnacentral:misc_RNA from 1 species
UCCGGCUUGACGCCGGCAGUCCCCCGAGAGUCCUCAGCUUCACCUGUUAGUAACACGGGGCAAGGGUUGCGCUCGUUGCGGGACUUAACCCAACAUCUCACGACACGAGCUGACGACAACCAUGCACCACCUGUACACCGACCUUGCGGGGAGCGCAUCUCUGGGGCGGUCCGGUGAAUGUCAAGCCUUGGUAAGGUUCUUCGCGUUGCAUCGAAUUAAUCCGCAUGCUCCGCCGCUUGUGCGGGCCCCCGUCAAUUCCUUUGAGUUUUAGCCUUGCGGCCGUACUCCCCAGGCGGGGCACUUAAUGCGUUAGCUACGGCGCGGAAAACGUGGAAUGUCCCCCACACCUAGUGCCCAACGUUUACGGCAUGGACUAC